UACGUAGGUGGCAAGCGUUAUCCGGAAUUAUUGGGCGUAAAGCGCGCGCAGGCGGUUUCUUAAGUCUGAUGUGAAAGCCCACGGCUCAACCGUGGAGGGUCAUUGGAAACUGGGGAACUUGAGUGCAGAAGAGAAAAGCGGAAUUCCACGUGUAGCGGUGAAAUGCGUAGAGAUGUGGAGGAACACCAGUGGCGAAGGCGGCUUUUUGGUCUGUAACUGACGCUGAGGUGCGAAAGCGUGGGUAGCAAACAGG
rnacentral:rRNA from 1 species